rnacentral:tRNA from 1 species
GUCAGGAUGGCCGAGCGGUCUACAGGCGCUGCGUUCAGGUCGCGUAGUCUCCCCUGGAGGCGUAGGGUUCUAAUCCCACUUCUGACA